AAGGAUGGAGGACAGGCUGGGAGCUACGCUUCCUGGGCCAGCACACCUCACCUUCAGACGGGCCGAGGGGACACAGAGCCAGCUCUCCCUCCGGGAGUCUGCAUUCUAGGGUCCUCCCUGGUCCCUGUCCCCCUGGCUGGGACACACCGCCCCCACCACAGGCGUGGAUGAGGCACGCCUGCUGCGCUCAGGCCCCCGCAGCGGCCAGGCCCAGGAGCAGCUUCAGGACCCAGGACACCUGCCCCUCAGACUCUUCCUUCACCCUCACAACCUCUUAAGACCAGGCGGAACAUCGUGCCUGCUUGGGAAAGCUCCCCGCCCCACCCAGCGCCCGUGAUGCGCUAUUGCCCACUCACACCUCUCUUUGCUCACAGCUCUCCAGAAGAGUCCUGAGUAUGCCGCAGAGGACGGUGCACCUGGCCGAGACCAGCAGCUCAGCACUUCCAAGGGGCGGGCAAGGUGGAUGGAGCAGGCGGCAGGGACAUCCGUCUAGUCCUCGUUUGGCUGUCAGCCCCAGCUUGACCUUGAGCAAGACCCUUACCAUCCUUUCUCCCUCAAGUUCCUCUUCUGCGAAGUGGAGGGAGGGGGCCACCGUGUGGGCCCUGGGGAGGAGGACCAGGAGGAUGGAGGCCCCUGCAGCCUGGAGGUGACAGUGACAGGCCUGGCCCAGGGAAGGAGGGCUGCCUGAGGACUAGGCUUGAGAGGAACCCUCUCAAGGGCCAGGCUUGAACUUGCAAAAGCAACGCCCUGGCUUUUGAGUCUCGUCACAAAAUGCAAUGCAGCUUCUGCGUGGUUCCCCUGGGGAGCCAGCCUGGGCAGCUGUGGGCCUCCGUGCCGUGAGGAAGCCCCACCGGAGAGAGCGGUGGAGAGGACAGAAGUGGAGAGAGAAGCCCCUCCAGCACCACUGCUCCCACCCUGCUGUUCCAGCUACAGCCACUGACUGCAACUGUGUGAGAGGCCCUGAGCCAGACCCCCCAGCCAAGCCCACC